rnacentral:rRNA from 1 species
ACGUAGGGUGCGAGCGUUAUUCGGAAUCACUGGGCGUAAAGCGCAUGUAGGCGGUUCGGUUAGUCCGGUGUGAAAGCCCACGGCUCAACCGUGGAAGUGCAUUAGAUACUGCCGAACUGGAGUGCAGGAGAGGAGAGCGGAAUUCCCGGUGUAGAGGUGAAAUUCGUAGAUAUCGGGAGGAACAACAGAGGCGAAGGCGGCUCUCUGGACUGCAACUGACGCUGAGAUGCGAAAGCGUGGGGAGCAAACAG